GGCUAUGUUCAAAGGUUGGAGCUGAUAGUAGGAGGGUAUGAGGGUGCUGGGUGCCUUUGGUUCGUCAGUGUAGGGUAUUACUUUGUGGGUGUUUUAUUUCUGUUAUUUCUUCUUGUUUCAUGCAUUAUUACGACUUUGACUAUUAUUCUUUGUCUUGAGCCGGGGGUCUUAUCGGAAACAACCUCUCUACUUCUCCGAAGGUAGUGGUAUGGACUGUGUACAUUUCACCCUCCC
rnacentral:lncRNA from 1 species